GGAAACAUCCCUCUCUGUGCUGUUGGCACCCUGAUGGCUGCAUUGGUGGUUGACUUCUCCUCUUGGCAGCUGGCGCAGCUGCAGGUGCAGAGCAGCAGCAGGGCAUCAGUGCUGGAGGGUCCAGCCGCUGCCCAAACGGGACUGCCCUCCUCUGCAGGCCUGUCUUAGUUCCUUUGCUCCUUGCUUCUUUUCCCUCAGGUGUACCUCCAGCUGCUGUCCUGAAUUAUGCCUGGCUGUUCUUGCACACCAGCAUUCCUAGGGACACCAUGCAGCGCUGCAUUCAGGAGACGCUGCUCUUUCUGUCCUACACCCGUGCAAAGAAACAGGGUGUGGACUUCAUCUUCAAGGACAUUGGCCGUCUGGUCUUCUGCAAGAGCAGAGUCCAAAGACAAUUUUCCACAGACUUUGUUCACAGCCUAAGUAACAACGUCCAGCUGCUGAAAUCUCAGAUGAAUGACCAAGUGACAGGACCAAGAGAAGAGCUGUGGGCAUCCCUGGGAAGAUGGCAGAGGAUCUUCUGAUCUCCUGUGUUUUGGAAGGAGGCUGUGCUCCGGGCUCUUGGGACAGGCAGAGGUGGCGAUCUUCAGAGCCCACCCGAGAGGUUUCUUCUCCGUUGCUGCAGCUGCCUUUAGUGCGGAGUGUGCGGGCAUCCAUGACCUCACACAAGCCCCGGCACACCAGCCACGGCCCGCCCACAUCAGGAGACAGGCGCUUCGGGCUCUGCGCAGUGCUUUGUGCUGCAGCUUCAUCGCAGAAGAGUGGGAGUAGCAGCGCCCAGCUGCCAGCACCAGGAGGGCGCUCGGAGCUGUACACUGGCAUCACUGAUAGGAACAGGACAGUGCCCCAGGAAUUCAGAUGCCCCACCACACCCUGCCCCCAGCCUCAGCUCAGCUGCGGCUGAGAAUUCUGCUGUGAAUAAAAGCUCAGGCAGAGUUUUGCCCCCA